ACGGGAGGCAGCAGUGGGGAAUAUUGCACAAUGGGGGAAACCCUGAUGCAGCGACGCCGCGUGAAGGAAGAAGUAUCUCGGUAUGUAAACUUCUAUCAGCAGGGAAGAUAAUGACGGUACCUGACUAAGAAGCCCCGGCUAACUACGUGCCAGCAGCCGCGGUAAUACGUAGGGGGCAAGCGUUAUCCGGAUUUACUGGGUGUAAAGGGAGCGUAGACGGAACGGCAAGUCUGAUGUGAAAGGCUGGGGCUCAACCCCGGGACUGCAUUGGAAACUGUCGGUCUUGAGUGCCGGAGGGGUAAGCGGAAUUCCUAGUGUAGCGGUGAAAUGCGUAGAUAUUGGGAGGAACACCAGUGGCGAAGGCGACUAACUGGACUGUAACUGACGCUGAGGCGCGAAAGUGUGGGGAGCAAACAGGAUUAGAUACCCUGGUA
rnacentral:rRNA from 1 species